rnacentral:rRNA from 1 species
GACGAACGCUGGCGGCGUGCUUAACACAUGCAAGUCGAGCGGUAAGGCCCUUUCGGGGGUACACGAGCGGCGAACGGGUGAGUAACACGUGGGUGACCUGCCCUCAGCUCUGGGAUAAGCCUGGGAAACUGGGUCUAAUACCGGAUAUGACUUCGCAUCGCAUGGUGCGGGGUGGAAAGUUUUUUCGGCUGGGGAUGGGCCCGCGGCCUAUCAGCUUGUUGGUGGGGUGAUGGCCUACCAAGGCGACGACGGGUAGCCGGCCUGAGAGGGCGACCGGCCACACUGGGACUGAGACACGGCCCAGACUCCUACGGGAGGCAGCAGUGGGGGAAUACUGCGCAAUGGGGCGAAAGCCUGACGCAGCGACGCCGCGUGAGGGAUGACGGCC